CCGAGUUGCAACUCCCAACCCUGUGAACAUACCUACUGUUGCUCGGCGGGAGGCAGCGCCUCGGCACACGGGGAGCAGCCCGCCGAGGCGUCCUAAACUAUAGUCAUACAUUGGCCUCUCUGAGUAGCUUAUAAAAUAAGUCA
rnacentral:misc_RNA from 1 species